UACGUAGGGAGCAAGCGUUGUCUGGAUUUAUUGGGCGUAAAGAGCUCGUAGGCGGCUUAGAAAGUCGGGUGUGAAACCUCCAGGCUCAACCUGGAGACGCCACUCGAUACUUCUAUGGCUUGAGUUCGGUAGGGGACCAUGGAAUUCCUGGUGUAGCGGUGAAAUGCGCAGAUAUCAGGAGGAACACCGAUGGCGAAGGCAGUGGUCUGGGCCGAUACUGACGCUCAGGCACGAAAGCGUGGGGAGCAAACAGG
rnacentral:rRNA from 1 species